GAUCGGAGUCUGCAACCCGACUCCGUGAAGCUGGAUUCGCUAGUAAUCGCGCAUCAGCCAUGGCGCGGUGAAUACGUUCCCGGGCCUUGUACACACCGCCCGUCAAGCCAUGGGAGCCGGGGGGUGCUUGAAGUGCGUCGCCGCAAGGCGCGCCCUAGAGCAAAACCGGUGACUGGGGCUAAGUCGUAACAAGGUAAC
rnacentral:rRNA from 1 species